UACGUAGGGCGCAAGCGUUGUCCGGAAUUAUUGGGCGUAAAGAGCUCAUAGGCGGCUUGUUGCGUCGACCGUGAAAACCCGUGGCUCAACUGCGGGCUUGCGGUCGAUACGGGCAGGCUAGAGUUCGGUAGGGGAGACUGGAAUUCCUGGUGUAGCGGUGAAAUGCGCAGAUAUCAGGAGGAACACCGGUGGCGAAGGCGGGUCUCUGGGCAGUAACUGACGCUGAGGAGCGAAAGCGUGGGGAGCGAACAGG
rnacentral:rRNA from 1 species